AUGUGGCACAGUACAGGGUCACACACACACUACACGACGUGGCUCAGUACAGGGUCACACACACACACACACUACACGACGUGGCUCAGUACAGGGUCACACUCACUACACGACGUGGCUCAGUACAGGGUCACACUCACUACACGACGUGGCUCAGUACAGGGUCACACACACACUACACGACGUGGCACAGUACAGGGUCACACACACACUACACGACGUGGCACAGUACAGGGGCACACACACACUACACGACGUGGCUCAGUACAGGGUCACACACACACUACGUGGCUCAGUACAGGGUCACACACACACUACGUGGCUCAGUACAGGGGUCACACACACACUACACGACGUGGCUCAGUACAGGGGUCACACACACACUACACGACGUGGCUCAGUACAGGGGUCACACACACACACUACACGACGUGGCUCAGUACAGGGGUCACACACACACACUACACGACGUGGCUCAGUACAGGGUCACACACACACACUACACGACGUGGCUCAGUACAGGGUCACACACUACACGACGUGGCUCAGUACAGGGUCACACACACACUACACGACGUGGCUCAGUACAGGGUCACACACACACUACACGACGUGGCUCAGUACAGGGUCACACACACACUACACGAAUUGGCUCAGUACAGGGUCACACACACACUACACGAAUUGGCUCAGUACAGGGUCACACACACUACACGAAUUGGCUCAGUACAGGGUCACACACACACACUACAUGACGUGGCUCAGUACAGGGUCACACACACACACACACUACACGACGUGGCUCAGUACAGGGUCACACACACACACUACACGACGUGGCUCAGUACAGGGUCACACACACUACACGAUGUGGCUCAGUACAGGGUCACACACACUACACGAUGUGGCUCAGUACAGGGUCACACACACUACACGACGUGGCUCAGUACAGGGUCACACACACACACUACACGGAAUUGGCUCAGUACAGGGUCACACACACUACACGACGUGGCUCAGUACAGGGUCACACACACACUACACGACGUGGCUCAGUACAGGGUCACACACACACACUACACGACGUGGCUCAGUACAGGGUCACACACACACUACACCAUGUGGCUCAGUACAGGGUCACACUCACUACACCAUGUGGCUCAGUACAGGGUCACACUCACUACACCAUGUGGCUCAGUACAGGGUCACACUACACAACGUGGCACAGUACAGGGUCACUCACUACACGACGUGGCUCAGUACAGGGUCACACUCACUACACCAUGUGGCACAGUACAGGGUCACACUCACUACACCAUGUGGCACAGUACAGGGUCACACACACACUACACGACGUGGCUCAGUACAGGGUCACACUCACUACACCAUGUGGCACAGUACAGGGGUCACACUCACUACACCAAUUGGCUCAGUACAGGGUCACACACACACACUACACGACGUGGCUCAGUACAGGGUCACACACACACACACUACACCACGUGGCUCAGUACAGGGUCACUCACACUACACGACGUGGCUCAGUACAGGGUCACACUACACCAUGUGGCACAGUACAGGGUCACACUACACGAUGUGGCACAGUACAGGGUCACACUACACGAUGUGGCUCAGUACAGGGUCACACACACACUACACGACGUGGCUCAGUACAGGGUCACACACACACUACACGACGUGGCUCAGUACAGGGUCACACACACACUACACGACGUGGCUCAGUACAGGGUCACACACACACUACACGACGUGGCUCAGUACAGGGUCACACACACACUACACGACGUGGCUCAGUACAGGGUCACACACACACUACACGACGUGGCUCAGUACAGGGUCACACACACUACACGAUGUGGCUCAGUACAGGGUCACACACACUACACGACGUGGCUCAGUACAGGGUCACACACACACUACACGAAUUGGCUCAGUACAGGGUCACACACACUACACGACGUGGCUCAGUACAGGGUCACACACACACUACACGACGUGGCUCAGUACAGGGUCACACACACACUACACCAUGUGGCUCAGUACAGGGUCACACUCACUACACCAUGUGGCUCAGUACAGGGUCACACUCACUACACGACGUGGCUCAGUACAGGGUCACACACACUACACCAUGUGGCUCAGUACAGGGUCACACUCACUACACCAUGUGGCUCAGUACAGGGUCACACUACACGAUGUGGCUCAGUACAGGGUCACACUACACCAUGUGGCACAGUACAGGGUCACUCACUACACCAUGUGGCUCAGUACAGGGUCACACUCACUACACCAUGUGGCACAGUACAGGGUCACACACACUACACGACGUGGCACAGUACAGGGUCCACACACACACUACACGACGUGGCUCAGUACAGGGUCACACUCACUACACCAUGUGGCACAGUACAGGGUCACACACACACUACACGACGUGGCUCAGUACAGGGUCACACACACUACACGAUUCUUCACUUGGUCGUAAGGAUUCUCCAUACAGACAUGCUGUCUCAUGAAAACAAUGAUGCAAUUAGAUUGUUAACGUAG
rnacentral:lncRNA from 8 species